ACCCAAUGGCUAGUCGCAGAGUCUAACUAUUUUCUCGGCCAAUGUCUGGAGAAGUUUUCAAAUAUUCGCUUCUUUCCAAAAUAAAUCAAAUGAAAAGUCGGGAUUUGGUUUUAUUUUAUUAUAUUUUUCCAUUUCAAUAUCUGUUUCACAUCCGCUCUUUAAUAUCUAUUUGUCGGCUAUUUUGCAUCGGGAAAACUCGGAAAAGUCGUGUUUAUCAACAUAGCUUUUCCUGUUACCUGACUUUAAAGUUCGUACACACGAGAACUAGAGUUUUGCAGCUCAUCUUUAGCUGGAGGUCCUUGACGGCACUGUAAUUGCGCUGAAUGGCGUGCUUUAUGUGUUUUUCAAUACGCACAACAUUUAAAUGAAAACUAAGGAAAAACGAGUGACAUUUUAUCAGCUGCCACAAGCAGCACAAUGUUGUUAAAGGACAUGCACUGGAGAACAUGAAGAAGCAACAACAACAAGAGCAACAACAACAACAGCAACGAUGAGGACAACAUGAAUGCAAAACGUCGUCGGCAUUCGGUUGUGUAAACAUUUUAAUUUCUGCUGCAAACAAAUGCGCAGCAGCCGCAGUCUUAGCAGCAGCAUGAGAACGCCUACCCUGCGUGCAUGUGGACCAUGGUCAUCCAAUCCCACUGCAUUGUCUCUAUUUCUACCUCUCUCUGUGUGUGCGUGUGUUUGGGAGCCAUGAAGGCGGACAUCAAGACGAUGAUUUCAGUUAUGUGGACUGUGGCUAACCGUAUUUGAAUUUCCAGUUUCAAUUUCAAUGCUUCCGCAAAGACAUUGCCAACUAGCAGUCGGAAAAGCCAUAAAAGAGUUGUGAUAGGCAAUUCGAAAAUUAUGCAUUCACAGGUAAGCUUGAGAAUCCCAGAGAAGGUUUGUACUCAAAGCGAAAUUGCUAACGCAAAAAGUUUCGUUAGCUUUAAAAAGACAGUUUUAUGUUCAUUGAAAUUAUUCUUGCUUUAGUAUUUGAGAAUCGCAGAGAGGGGCCCAGAAAUACAACGAUAUGCUGCACAAA